rnacentral:lncRNA from 1 species
GGGAUGAGAUGCUUGUUCCUGCUCUAACCGGAAAAGCUUUAUUCAUACGUUCAUUCAUCUAUUGUAUGGAAAACUAGUCUGUCCUAGUAAGAACCUCACUAGCUGUGAGAUGGACUUGAAGUGCUUGCUCUGCAGCAGGUGAGAGUACAAAAGGAGUGAGGAGAACGUCCUUCUGUGAAGCUUUUCGACACCUCUUUGGAUGAGAAGGAGCAAAGUGGUGGUGCUGCUGCAUCUGGAGCAAUUGGUUUGCUAAAGGUUUGUCUGAUGUCCCGAGCGCUGCCCGGGUGUUCCAGCGGCACCAACAGAGGCUGACUGAUGGGCUCCAGUUCAGACAUACGAAGGGUGGCAAGCAGAGGCAGCGUUCUGAGACCGCAAGUCCCUCAGAACUGGAUGUCCUCAUCCCCAGGGCUGUCAGCCACACCGUGUCCUGUCCCUGCCGGCUGCACAGCAACAGUGGCGACACGGCUGCAUUGCUGGGGAGAUGGAAGCCCAACGUGUGUCAUCUCUGAGGCUGCUCGAGUUCCUCUUCAGCGCUUUGCAGGGGAAGACCAGAGAAAUAAUAAGGCUUUGUAUGAGUGAUAAGACUGUAUCGUGAUGGCUGUUCGCUUCCUAACAGAUGGGACAGAGAUGCAGGUAGGGUGGAGGGGCCACAAAGGCAACUGAUGGAGAAGUUUCUUUGGAGUCUGCUGUUCUUUUUUGCUUCAUUUAUAUUUCAUUAGGCAUGAAAUUACGUUUAUAAUUGUAUUAGACAACUGUGUGAGAUAUUAGAUCAUAAGCCUAGACUGAAUUAAAGCCAUUUUUAAUUAGUUAUUGAUUUAUUCUGUUUCGUCAUUUUUAAUGAAAUGAUGCCCCUGAAUUCAAAGCGCUGGUGCAGGUGUGUUAUCUUAAUUCAUAGAACUAGCACUCUGCUUACCUCCCAACC